rnacentral:rRNA from 1 species
GUGGGGAAUAUUGGACAAUGGGCGAAAGCCUGAUCCAGCCAUGCCGCGUGUGUGAAGAAGGUCUUCGGAUUGUAAAGCACUUUAAGUUGGGAGGAAGGGCAGUAAGUUAAUACCUUGCUGUUUUGACGUUACCGACAGAAUAAGCACCGGCUAACUUCGUGCCAGCAGCCGCGGUAAUACGAAGGGUGCAAGCGUUAAUCGGAAUUACUGGGCGUAAAGCGCGCGUAGGUGGUUCAGCAAGUUGGAGGUGAAAUCCCCGGGCUCAACCUGGGAACUGCCCACAAAACUAAUGAGCUAGAAGACGGUAGAGGGUAGUGGAAUUUCCUGUGUAGCGGUGAAAUGCGUAGAUAUAGGAAGGAACACCAGUGGCGAAGGCGACUAACUGGACUGAUACUGACACUGAGGUGCGAAAGCGUGGGGAGCAAACAGGAUUAGAAACCCCUGUAGUCC